rnacentral:rRNA from 1 species
GACGAACGCUGGCGGCGUGCUUAACACAUGCAAGUCGAACGGAAAGGCCCUGCUUUUGUGGGGUGCUCGAGUGGCGAACGGGUGAGUAACACGUGAGUAACCUGCCCUUGACUUUGGAAUAACUUCAGGAAACUGGGGCUAAUACCGGAUAGGAGCUCCUGCUGCAUGGUGGGGGUUGGAAAGUUUCGGCGGUUGGGGAUGGACUCGCGGCUUAUCAGCUUGUUGGUGGGGUAGUGGCUUACCAAGGCUUUGACGGGUAGCCGGCCUGAGAGGGUGACCAGCCACAUUGGGACUGAGAUACGGCCCAGACUCCUACGGGAGGCAGCAGUGGGGAAUAUUGCACAAUGGGCGGAAGCCUGAUGCAGCAACGCCGCGUGCGGGAUGACGGCCUUCGGGUUGUAAACCGCUUUCGCCUGUGACGAAGCGUGAGUGACGGUAAUGGGUAAAGAAGCACCGGCUAACUACGUG